UGCUUAUGGAUAUUUUGGACACAAAGGUAGGAAUGACUAACAUUCAGGUUUUUAAAGCUUGAAACCUAAAUGUAGAAAAUAGAUCCUCAGAGGGUGGUCUAUGGAGAGAGAGCAGUUGAAUAUCAAACACAUAAUUUUCUUGUAUUUACUUUCAAGUGGGGAAAAGUUUUUCCUUGUGUUACACCUUUGAAACAAUCCGAUCUGAAAAAGGCACUUGGGUUUGGGCUUUCCUGUGCGGGGUUUCGGCUUUUAUAUGCUUAGGACUUGUUCGGAGAUGAAAGUAUCUUAGAACGAAGUUGGAGGAGUGUGUUGGCAAGGGAUACCCCCUCGCUGCCCAGAGAGCCUCAGACUAACCGUAAAUAGUUUAUAUUCCGUAGCUUAUAUUCCGUUCAUACCGGACUUCUAGUGUAGUAUUUUAGGAAACACCAGAAUGGAAAGCCAUUGGAAGACAGUUUGUAGGUUUUUUAAACCAUGUUUGUAGCUUUUUAAAACCAUAUUUCCUCAUUUAAAAACUAGAACUCUAAUAGUUUUUGUGAAUUAUUUCAGAUGAAAAAUUCACCUUGUAACUCAUAUUGUAAUAAUGCAUCUCUUUUUAUUAUAAAUGUAUUGAAAGAGAGGAGAAGGAAGGGAUUGAGGAAGAAGAGAAGAAGGAAGGGGGAGAGGGUCAGCGCAGCUGGAGGUGCAUGGGGCAUUGCGGACGCGGGCGUCUUCCUCUGUCACGCCUCUCAGAGCGCUGGCUCAGCUGCAGCAGUGCGCUUGGAUUAAAAGGGACCAAAAAGCCACAGGCAUUAGGCGGAAAGGAGGACACAUAGUAGUAAUAAUUGACAGUAUCGACUUCUUUUCUUCACAUUCUACGAGUAAUAAUACUAAAAAUCUCUUUUUACCUUUAAGUUUGCUGAUGUUGAAACUUUCCCUUUAGAAUGCCAUCAGUUUCACUUUCUGAUCAGUUUCACUUUCUGAUAUGAACUAAUUUAAAGUCCCCACUUCUUUUCCACUGAGUGGGAACCUCAUUAAGACAGCAGCGUGUGUGACUUCCAGUUUUGACUGGCCAAUGAUUCCAGACACGGAACUUUAGGAAUAACUAGUAGCCACGUAAUUCAAGGACAGAGCAAUGCUAUUAUAUUUGGUUUCACCAUCUUAAUUGCUAUAAUUCUAAAAAAGAAGUUAAAGCCCAUUAAAAUACGCUGGGUCAAUGAAAUGCUUCCUUUUAUUGUGUGGUCCUAUUAUACUUUAUGUUUUUUAAAAUAUUCUAACAAUAACAUCUUUGGUUUCGUAUUUUGGUUAUAUUAUAAUCCGUGGAGCAUUGUGUUAAUAUAAAACCCAGAUAUACGCUUAUUGCCUAACAGUUUGUUACUUAUAUAUGCAAUGCUGUAUUCCACACGUGGGAAUUUUCAGAAUCGUACAUAGCGUAAUUCUCCCUGCUCCCAUUUUUUUUGAGUCUGGGUGUCAUUAUUUUUUUUAAAAGUUGUAUUUAACUGUAAUUUCUUUUUAUGUUAAAUUUAGUUAUAAAUAUUCUGGCAAUAUAAUGCUAGUUAUCUUUAUUUUGAUACAAUUCAAUUAUUUUGAUAUAAUUCAAUUUGAUAUCAUUCAGCAUUUCUGGCUGUCCUAUGACAAUUGGAGCUAUGAUGUUUCUUCGUCAUUCUUUUUUUUUUUUUUUUUUUUGCGGUACGCGGGCCUCUCACUGUUGUGGCCUCUCCCGUUGCGGGGCACAGGCUCCGGACGCGCAGGCUCAGUGGCCAUGGCUCACGGGCCCAGCCGCUUCCGCAUCAUGUGGGAUCUUGCCGGACCGGGGCAUGAACCCGUGUCCCCUGCAUUGGCAGGCGGACUCUCAACCGCUGCGCCACCAGGGAAGCCCAUCUUUGUCAUUCUUUAAAGGAGCCAUUAUUAGCCUUCCAGCAUGUAAUCUGGAGUUCUUUUUAACAGCCUCACUUUUUCUAAUUUGCUUGAUUAAAGUUUAAUACUGUUUUCUAUAAAAAUAUGUUGUAAAUACCUCCUUGACAAGGUUCCUUAAUGUAAGGACAGUACUUAACUUGGUGUUCAUCAAGUGGCUCCCAUGGGUCCAGGUGCCAUUACAUCUUCUUGGCUGCAUCAUUUACUUGCACUUUUAAAAUCUGAGGCACAGUGAGUGGACUCACUCUUGGAUAAGAUUCAGGACUUUAUGUACUCUCAGUAGAGGCUUCUGUUAGACAGAAGAAUAUUCUGAUUUUUUUUUUCUUUCAAGUUCCAGUAAAGCAUAGCACCUUUAAGAACUUAAAAAGUUCCUAUCAUCUAUUCAAAUGAUAUUCGUGUUAAUGUUAAAUAUCUUAAGUUGCACCAGGAGUCAUUUGAGGUACAAUUUUUUUUUAUCACUACUUUGAAUAAAGAACCGUUAUACCACUUUCUUUAGGAAACUAAACAGUAAAUAUACAUUUUUAAUUAAGUGUAUAUUGGUGGUGAGUAGGCUUGUUUCAAAACUAUUUCUAGCCAUUGAGUUGUGUUUUCACGUGCCUCAUCAAAAGACAGUGCCACAUUCACUAAAAUGUUGCCAUUUCAUUUCAGUGGUUGUAAUACAGGAAAACAUAUUUCCUAGAUGAUUUCCGAGUUUCGCACUUCACAGGACAUUUACACAUUGGUAUGUGUGUGUCUUUGUAAUAGGGAUGAUAUUGAUAUAUAUGUUACUACAUAUUUAAGAAGAAUUCUGUCCAUGUUGUCACGAGGCCACGGUUUACCUCUCUUCUGCCAGGGUAUUGAAUCUGUGGUAUAGGAUAGUUCCAUGUUCCAUUUAUAGAUCAUUAAGAUUUGUCUUUGAUAGAUUUAAUAGAAUGUGGCUCUGUUCUGGUCCUUCAAGCCUUUAUUUUUUUUGGACUUUUACUAAGGUGCAGUUGAUACAGUAGAGUUGAUUUCUUUUGUACACAGGAAGCUUUAUAAGAUUUUAUUCACAAAUCUUCUAUUUUGAGAAGCUGUUUUGCAUAUAAGAAGGAUACUGUUGAAAUAAAACAUCAUUUUCCCAGAAACUAAAGCUUUGUAUAUUGAACCAGGGUGAUUCUGAAUGUUUAAAUUUUAAAUGUUAAAGUGUUGUUGUUAAUUGUACUUGAUGAUCUAUUCAAUAGGAAAUCAUGGUUUAUCAAUAAAAAUGAAAAUUUCCAUCG
ensembl:lncRNA